CGACGUAGGUAACCUGCCCAUGUGUCCGGGAUAACUGCUGGAAACGGUAGCUAAAACCGGAUAGGUAUACAGAGCGCAUGCUCAGUAUAUUAAAGCGCCCAUCAAGGCGUGAACAUGGAUGGACCUGCGGCGCAUUAGCUAGUUGGUGAGGUAACGGCCCACCAAGGCGAUGAUGCGUAGCCGGCCUGAGAGGGUAAACGGCCACAUUGGGACUGAGACACGGCCCAA
rnacentral:rRNA from 1 species